rnacentral:rRNA from 1 species
GACGAACGCUGGCGGCGUGCUUAACACAUGCAAGUCGAACGGAAAGGCCCUGCUUUUGUGGGGUGCUCGAGUGGCGAACGGGUGAGUAACACGUGAGUAACCUGCCCUUGACUUUGGGAUAACUUCAGGAAACUGGGGCUAAUACCGGAUAGGAGCUCCUGCUGCAUGGUGGGGGUUGGAAAGUUUCGGCGGUUGGGGAUGGACUCGCGGCUUAUCAGCUUGUUGGUGGGGUAGUGGCUUACCAAGGCUUUGACGGGUAGCCGGCCUGAGAGGGUGACCGGCCACAUUGGGACUGAGAUACGGCACAGACUCCUACGGGAGGCAGCAGUGGGGAAUAUUACACAAUGGGCGGAAGCCUGAUGCAGCAACGCAGCGUGCGGGAUGACGGCCUUCGGGUUGUAAACCGCUUUCGCCUGUGACGAAGCGUGAGUGACGGUAAUGGGUAAAGAAGCACCGGCUAACUACGUG